rnacentral:rRNA from 1 species
GAUGAACGCUGGCGGCGUGCCUAAUACAUGCCAGUCGAGCGAACAGACGAGGAGCUUGCUCCUCUGACGUUAGCGGCGGACGGGUGAGUAACACGUGGAUAACCUACCUAUAAGACUGGGAUAACUUCGGGAAACCGGAGCUAAUACCGGAUAAUAUAUUGAACCGCAUGGUUCAAUAGUGAAAGACGGUUUUGCUGUCACUUAUAGAUGGAUCCGCGCCGCAUUAGCUAGUUGGUAAGGUAACGGCUUACCAAGGCAACGAUGCGUAGCCGACCUGAGAGGGUGAUCGGCCACACUGGAACUGAGACACGGUCCAGACUCCUACGGGAGGCAGCAGUAGGGAAUCUUCCGCAAUGGGCGAAAGCCUGACGGAGCAACGCCGCGUGAGUGAUGAAGGUCUUCGGAUCGUAAAACUCUGUUAUUAGGGAAGAACAAAUGGGUAAGUAACUAUGCACGUCUUGACGGUACCUAAUCAGAAAGCCACGGCUAACUACGUG